rnacentral:rRNA from 1 species
GACGAACGCUGGCGGCGUGCUUAACACAUGCAAGUCGAACGGAAAGGCUCCAGAUUUCUGGGGUGCUCGAGUGGCGAACGGGUGAGUAACACGUGGGUAAUCUGCCCUGCACUCUGGGAUAAGCCCGGGAAACUGGGGCUAAUACUGGAUAUGACCUUCCUCUUAAUGGGGUUUGGUGGAAAGUUUUUCGGUGUGGGAUGAGCCCGCGGGCUAUCAGUUUGUUGGUGGGGGGAUGGCCUACCAAGGCGUCGACGGGUAGCCGGCCUGAGAGGGUGAUCGGCCACAUUGGGACUGAGAUACGGCCCAGACUCCUACGGGAGGCAGCAGUGGGGAAUAUUGCACAAUGGGCGGAAGCCUGAUGCAGCGACGCCGCGUGAGGGAUGACGGCCUUCGGGUUGUAAACCGCUUUCAGCUGGGACGAAGCGUAAGUGACGGUACCGGCAGAAGAAGCACCGGCUAACUACGUG